UACGUAGGGGGCAAGCGUUGUCCGGAAUUAUUGGGCGUAAAGCGCGCGCAGGCGGCGGUUUAAGUUUGGUGUUUAAGCCCGGGGCUCAACUCCGGUUCGCACUGAAAACUGGAUCGCUUGAGUGCAGGAGAGGGAAGUGGAAUUCCACGUGUAGCGGUGAAAUGCGUAGAGAUGUGGAGGAACACCAGUGGCGAAGGCGACUUCCUGGCCUGUAACUGACGCUGAGGCGCGAAAGCGUGGGGAGCAAACAGGAUUAGAUACCCUGGUAGUCCACGCCGUAAACGAUGAGUGCUAGGUGUUAGGGGUUUCGAUACCCUUGGUGCCGAAGUAAACACAGUAAGCACUCCGCCUGGGGAGUACGGUCGCAAGACUGAA
rnacentral:rRNA from 1 species